UGAGGAACAUGACCUUCGGCGGGGGAUAGCUGGCCCAACGGCCGGGUAAUACCGCGUACGACCACAUGGGGACAUCCCUGAGUGGUGAAAGCAGCAAUGCGCCGAUGGAGUGCCUCGCGGCCUAUCAGCUAGUUGGUGAGGUAACGGCUCACCAAGGCGACGACGGGUAGCUGGUCUGAGAGGAUGGCCAGCCACAUUGGGACUGAGACACGGCCCAGAUCCGUACGGG
rnacentral:rRNA from 1 species